rnacentral:lncRNA from 1 species
GUUUUUAAUUUAGCCCUUAAACCCUCAUUUUUGCUCCUUUUUUCCUAUUUUCUUUUCCAAUUGCAGCCAACCUUUUAACAAACAUCUAUAGCCUAAAAUCAAUCUACUAGGGCUUCAUUUAGCAGCCGCCGAACCCACCAUUCAAUUUGAUGGUCGACGGUGCGCGAGCAGAGACCCGGUCUUACCAACAAAGGUCACCCAUGGAAAUCUGGUAAGUUAAACCUUCUCCUUUUCUUUCUUUGAAAAAAAAACACAAAUCAUGUAUUAUUAUCUCUAAAAACAAAGCAGAAAUUCAAAAGAAAAAAACAUUCGACCUUCGCCCCGAAUCUCUAUAUUUCCGAGAUAUUUUGGCAUUCAUCGGUGUCGAUUCAAGUAUUUUCAUUUUUUUCAUGCUAAUAUUGCGAGCAAAUUGAAAGAAACAAAAAGAAAUAAAGAGAUUUUUGGAUCACCUUGGAUAACUUUAUGACUGCUCUUUUCUAAUAUUUCGUAUGUGUAUUUCAGUGUGCGUAAAAAUACAUGGUACAGGUAAUGGCUUUUUGUAGCCUGGCAAAAAUACAGAUUUAAAAAUAAUAGAUAUUUUUCUUUUUCUUUUGCUAUAUAUUUUUUCUAUUUUGCUGCUUCUCGUGUGUUCUUUUGCAGGAGUGGUUGUACGAAAAAGAUGACUCUGGUGACGUGAAGGCCGAGCGUGGGGAUCUCACGUGGGAAGUCGACCCUCUGGUGCUAUUCCAGUGUAUGCCAGAAGCUUCUAGAGCUCUCGGUCUGCUGAACUUUGGGUUCUUUUUGGGUUCCAAAUUUGGGCCAUCUGAAGUUGGGAAAUUGGGUUUAAAAAAUGUAUCUGGGCUGGUAUAAACUUAGCUUUUAACUUAGUUUAUUAUUUGGGCCUGAUGGUUUGUAAAGACUUGGACUUUAAGGAAUUAUUAUUUAUUUAUUUUUAAUUUAUUUUUCUGGUUUUAUUGUGGGCCGGGCAAAUUGGGCCUAUUACACGUUCUUUAUCUUUGAUGUACCUUAUACUGCUUUGAUAAACAUAGGUUCUACACACUCCUAUGUAGCUAGUAGUAUUUCUGAAAAUUUGGGGAUUUCCGUUGAGAGCACUUCUAGUGAGAUAACUAUACUGAGUCCAUU